CCAGCACUGAGAAUAGCUCACUGGGAUAAGUUGGUGUCCUGGCAACGGCAACGUCAGAGGUCCAAAUCGAGCCAAAGCUGACGAGCUUGUCAUGUCUCUGUUUCUCUGUUUAGCGAGACUGUAAGACACUGCAAAGGAAGCCAGGUACACCGCAGUCGCUAGCUACCUGUAGUCAAGCUGUAUAUAGUCAAUGCAAUCCUCACACAAACUAUCAAAAUGAUUUUAGAUUUUCAAAACCAUUUGUCCGGUACAGCCAAUCGAAAUCGGCAGCAGAGCCGGCAAACAGAAAGUUGUGUCGUAUCUCAGCAAAUCUUUGACGGAUUCACGCCAAACUUGCUGCGUGUACUCAGAACCCUCUUCUGAGGAUGUCGAAAGUUUCUUCUGGGUCAUCUGACCUGCUUGGCCACCCCAUUGCUGCUUGCAGCUAUAUUUGCAAUUGAAUCCAUUCUGAGGUGGUGCUUUUAUCUGUGCUUGUUCAGUCUGAGGUCUUAACUAAUCUAUUUUAUGGUUGUAUUUAUUUAUUUAUUUUCCAUUUUGUUAACUCAAACUUGCUGGUCUUUUAUUAUGAUUUAUUGUUUUGUAUUGCUUUUACUCAUACAUCCCUUUCAAAUGUGCUCUUAUAUUAUCACUUUGCUUUUAUUCUUUCUUUUUCUUUUUCUUGAUUUAUUUGUUUCCUAUCCUUAUUAUAUUAUUAUUAUUAUUAUUAUUCCUUAUUAUUUCCUUUUAUAUCCUUUAUUUCUUUAAAACAAAAAUGAUCAAUGUAUUUACCUCGACUGUAAAGCACUUUGGUACAACUCCUGUUGUUUUUAAAUGUGCUAAAUAAAUAAAGUUGACUUGACUUGACUUUAACUUUAACUAAAAAUAGACUUGUGAGCAUCUCUGGUGGACAUUCUCUUCUGGCCUUUGCGAAAAGUUUUCAACACAUCAUUUGCUGAUUUAAAUGCUGGAUCCAGUAUGAUGUCGUAUCUGGAGGAUACAGGAGUAUCCAGGAAUUGUUCUAUAAUUUGUUCUACAUCAUCAUGUUCUUACCAGAUUAGCCUAGCAGAAACUGUUGGAUAGAAGAAAUGGAUAGAACACCAACAUAGGCAAAUUAUUAGGUACUCGUAUUGGCACUCGAUAUCGGCAAGUUCACAAAUGUAAAUACUUGUACUCGAUCUGAGAGAAGUGGCAUCAGUGCAACCCUAGCUACUGUAAAAUGUACCAUGUUCAAACGAAUGGCAAAUGGCAUGCAAGUGUAAUACAGUCAAUAAAACAAAUAAAUACAGUCAAAAAUGACUUCACCCGGAUGCACAUCUCACAAGUUAAUCGACGUUCUAAAGAAUGCAUCACAAUUGGGAAUUCAACCAAGCUGUGGUAUAAUAAUAUAAUAAUUAAUAGAAUUAUCAUGCAGUGUUCUAACACUUAGAUGUAGUUUGGUUACACAGUCAAACUGUGUUGGCUUUCAAUGAUAAGAUAAUCGUGUAAUCGUCCUUUGACAAUCGACAUUUUCAUGCAUAUUUUUUCAGUAAAUAGGGUGGUUUUCCUCCCACAUCUACGAAAGCUCUGACAUACAGCUGAACUUUAAAUGAUGCAACCCCCUUAGGCCUCAAUCCAUUCUGAUGAAUUUCAGACAGGUAAACAGUUAAACACAUGAAAAAGGUUGAUUUGACACAAUAGUGAACAUUAGGUUGAGUUAUUGUUCAAAUGUGAAAUCUAAUUAAGGAAAUGAUAUAACCCCAAAAAGACUGUAUUCUGUGGAGCAACCUUUACACCUAAUAACCUCCAACAUUAUGACCAAUCCUCAUGUGCAGAAGCUUCCAGCUCACUGAUGUUCUCUGGCUUCCAUACUGUUUCAUUGGCCUCUUUACGUUUGAUUCCCCAAGAAGUACGCAUAGAAAAAGCUAGUUAAUAAAUGUGAUCUGACCAUCUCGCUAUUUUAUUUGUAUUUUUUUUUUAGUGCCAUAUAAGCUGGUGGCAGCAUGUACUGCUAUUAGUACCACAUAUGUUGGACGUAUGAGAAUUGUUUUUGUUAUUCCGUGUAAGCAGCAAUAUUUGAUUUGUGUUCAAAUGAUUCUGUUCUGUAAGAGAGGACUUGAGAGAAUGGUACCAAAAUGUUGCUUGUGUCGAAUGAUUUUAGGUUAUUUGGACAGAAAAAAAACAUAUUUUCUUCCAAAAACACACAUUUCGAAGUGAUCUCAAACUUUUGAACAGUAGUGUGUGUUUUUCUAUAUGUCCAUUUGAUUGCUACUGGUAUGAUGUAGUACUGGGGGUAUAUAACUCAAAUGCAUGUACGUACGUAGUACACUUUGAGAACCCAUUCUGAGUAGUGGGCAGUAGAGUAGUGGUAUGUUCUUCAUCAUCAUCAUUAUCAUCAUCUUCAUCAUUGUUUCUCUAAACAGUUAUGAAAAACAUCAAUUAUAUAUUUUCACCAUGCUUUUGUAUUCAUAACUAUCUGUAGGUCAUGUACUCAUAGUCAAAGAGGUUGACAUUGAACAAAAACUUCAAGAUGCAUCCACUCCGUGUGCUUUGGACUCUUUUACGCUGAUGUUCUUUCGGAAGUACACAUCAGUUUGGAUGUGGUUAGAGUUAGGGGCUUGGGAUGGAAGGGGAGGGAGGGGAUGUUAAACCCAAGUUACUGUGACAGUAAUCUGGAGCCAUCUUCUGUUCCACUAAUACAAUUCAAAGUGAUAUUCACUGAAUGACUUAUCACCUACACAAAUAAUGUCAAAUUGUGAUUUAUAAUGCCAUGUGUGUGCGCAUUGGAAGUGCCUGUGCAUUUGAUUAAGUUUCAAUUCCACAGUCGAUAAAAAUGUUUACAAGAGUAACUUAAUUUGAUCUAUUUGUAUCAAUGAAACAUGAUUGUCUGCUCCUCAUGCUGACUGGCUGACAUGGCUGACUGCUAACAGACUGUUGUACAAACCAGUGUAAAAAACCAUAGAGACUCCAGACUGAAUGGAUUUUGUGUAGACUUUGAAACUUUUUUUUUGAUUUUGACCUGUUUUCACUGGAGUUCUGCAGAAUCUCUAGGCAUGUCAACCUCAAUCACCGUGUUGAUAUGCCUCUUUUAAAUGUCUCUUUCUUCCCCAGUAGUCAUGUUGUAUUGUCACCUCAAGCUGUACAUACAGAUGUAUUUAAUGCAUGUAAAAAUAAGGUGCUAGUCCUCAAGUCUCCAGUUUGAAAUAUAUUUCUCCUGCUUCUUUAAUGAUUUGAACGUGUUAAAGAAUGUAAACAACCUCAGUUCUCCACCCCUGCAGCCAUCUACAAAUCUUUGCAAGGUUUGCGUGUUUCAAGGACAACUGAGGGGGUGACAUAUUUGACAAGAAUUAGGAAAAUGUAUAAGAUUACCAGAUUUACCUGGUUACAUUAUCUUGGCAUAUCGGAUACAGCACAGAACAAUCGUUUGUUAUGCAAAUUAAAACCGAUGGAAAUAAACUAGCACAUAAAUACAUGUUCAGUGUUUUUAUUCCACAAUGACAUGACAGUGCAGAUAUGGCAUGGCCUGUGCUUCAUGUGUACAUGAGGACCAGAGAGGGCGUUGUUCCGGUCUGUCCCACAGGCUUCAGGCAUCGCUACGUGACCUGAGUGAUUGACAUUUCUCUAUCUCUUUUUAAUCAGAUUGAGAAUGCAUCCCAAAAAGAAAACAAGCGAUGUACGAGUAACUUCAAUGGGAAUAAAAUAAUUCUAAAUAACCUAGGGGCAUUGGCUGGACCAUCAGGGGCUGAGCUCAGACUCUUGGUGUUGGAUACUGCACUGAGUGUACUGGCAAGUGUGUCAUAGUUACCAUUGGAUACUGCACUGAGUGUACUGGCAAGUGUGUCAUAGGAGAGAGUUACCAUUGGAUACUGCACUGAGUGUACUGGCAAGUGUGUCACAGUGGAGAGUUACCAUUGGAUACUGCACUGAGUGUACUUGCAAGUGUGUCAUAGUUACCAUUGGAUACUGCACGGAGUGUACUGGCAAGUGUGUCACAGUGGAGAGUUACCAUUGGAUACUGCACUGAGUGUACUGGCAAGUUUCAAUGGGACUUCUCAUCCACAAAGAUUAUUAGCAAUAGUUUAAAACACAUAAUUGACAGAAACACAGUCACAAUCACAAUAUAACUUUUACUUUUCAGAUUUGGCUACAUAAAACAAUAUACAGUAUAUAACUCAAUGACUCCCAUCUCAGUAAACUAAUACAGGCACCAAUAGGACGAGGCAACUGCAGUGACUGACUAAUACAGGCACCAAUAGGAAGAGGCGACUGCAGUGACUGACUAAUACAGGCACCAAUAGGACGAGGCGACUGCAGUGACUGACUAAUACAGGCACCAAUAGGAAGAGGUGACUGCAGUGACUGAAACCAGCAUUGGAGUGAAAAUAGACAGAGGGUACACAGCUCACCCAAGAGGCCCAAGGCACAGGGCACCGCCGAGGGGGAGGGGGAAUAGGAGGGUAACCGUUUUAUCAUAGGUUAGUAUAGGCUCCCAUUAUACAAAAUAGCUUACUAAACAAUAAAAAAUUGGCUAAAUCGGUCAAGAUAGCGACCUCGGUUAUCAUCUGUCACUACAAGACCAAACUCUCUGGUUACCCCUGCAUGGCUUGUGCCUGAAACAAGAGGUUUUGCUCUCGUGCAGCUACACUCUUGUGUCUCGGCCAUAGCUAGCAAGUCAGUCAUCUUUCCAUCAGCUAACAAACAGCUGAUUUUUCCACCAUUAAUGCACUUUUGUUUGCUAAUGUUAAGGUAGCCUAUACCGCCUGUAGGCCCUGUGACAUUUUUUUUU
ensembl:lncRNA